UACGAAGGGGGCUAGCGUUGUUCGGAUUUACUGGGCGUAAAGCGCACGUAGGCGGUUUGUUAAGCGAGAGGUGAAAUCCCAGAGCUCAACUCUGGAACUGCCUUUCAUACUGGCAAGCUAGAGUCCGGAAGAGGUAAGUGGAACUCCUAGUGUAGAGGUGGAAUUCGUAGAUAUUAGGAAGAACACCAGUGGCGAAGGCGGCUUACUGGUCCGGAACUGACGCUGAGGUGCGAAAGCGUGGGGAGCAAACAGG
rnacentral:rRNA from 1 species